CUCACGCCCAGCAUCACCGAGAACAUUAAUAAUGGAUGCCGAAUGGGUGAGUGAACCAAAAACUAUAACUCUUACUCUGCAACACCGACAACUUCAGCUUUUCCACAUUUCUUACACAUAACCGUGGUAGGCCCUUUGGUUGCCUUAGUUUUGUAUCCACCGCAGGCAAUAUAAUACCAUGCAGAACCAUGCACAACAUCAUCAAUGGUAGCUGUGCACUCAA
rnacentral:lncRNA from 1 species